GAGUAUAACUUAAGCUAAGUGAUCACAAGUAUAACUGUCAUCCAUAUAGAAAUGGAAUAUAUCUCAAACUGUACCUAUGUUGACUCAUUGUUCUAAGAAAGUAGGAUACGUUAAACCCAUACUUUUUGCUCGGUGCUAAAUACUACUCCAUUUAAUCUAUAUGCUCAUUUCGCAGGAAAUCCACUUAAAUGGCUUAAUGAUUCAUACU
rnacentral:lncRNA from 1 species